rnacentral:rRNA from 1 species
AAGGAUUCCCCUAGUAACGGCGAGUGAACCGGGAUCAGUCCAGCGCUAAAUCUCGUUGUUUCGGCAACGCGACGUGUAGCGUAUAGGCAGUGUGCUUGGCCAUGGCUCUGGGCACAAGUUUCCCAUGACCGGGGCGCCAGAGAAGGUGAUAGACCUGUAGCGUCCGGAGCCUUGGCCGACUGCUCUGUCUUGGAGUCGGGUUGUUUGGGAUCGCAGCCCAAAGCAGGUGGUAUACUUCAUCUAAGACUAAAUAUGCCUACGAGACCGAUAGCGAAAAAGUACCGUGAGGGAAAGUUGCAAAGCACUUUGAAGAGAGAGUUAAAGAGGACGUGAAACCGGUAGGAUGGAAACGGAUAGAGCCAGCGAAGUCGCUUGUAUUCAGCCAAAGGCCUGGGGCAUCGGUGGGUCGAGUUGCUAAUCACGCUCGGCUCGCCUUUUGCCACUGGCUGAGGUGCAUUUGCAGGCGUUUGCGCUGAGACUUGCGGUUCAGCUUCUGGACCCGGGCCUAGAGGCUGUCCUCUGGGCAGAACUUGGGCACGGCGACGGUUGUUUUGGCUGCUCGUACCACGGCUUGGCCUACGGACUGGGGCGCUGUCGUUGUUUUCGGGCGUUGGCAUCGCAUGCGAUGACUCGUUCGGGGGCUGCGGCUGUGUUUCACGUUCCCAAGUCGGCUCUCGGUGUAAAAGCUGGUCACCUAUCCGACCCGUCUUGAAACACGGAC